UACGUAGGGGGCAAGCGUUGUCCGGAUUUAUUGGGCGUAAAGAGCGUGUAGGCGGCUAGGUAGGUCCGUUGUGAAAACUCGAGGCUCAACCUCGAGACGCCGGUGGAAACCAUCUAGCUAGAGUCCGGAAGAGGAGAGUGGAAUUCCUGGUGUAGCGGUGAAAUGCGCAGAUAUCAGGAAGAACACCCGUGGCGAAGGCGGCUCUCUGGGACGUGACUGACGCUGAGACGCGAAAGCGUGGGGGGCGAACAGG
rnacentral:rRNA from 1 species